AGGGAAUAUUGCGCAAUGGGGGAAACCCUGACGCAGCGACGCCGCGUGAGUGAUGGAGGCCUUCGGGUCGUAAAGCUCUGUUGCAGGGGAAUAAAAAAAUGAAUGUACCCUGCGAGGAAGGAUCGGCUAACUUCGUGCCAGCAGCCGCGGUAAGACGAGGGAUCCUAGCGUUGUUCGGAAUUAUUGGGCGUAAAGCGGGUGCAGGUGGCUUUGUAAGUCAGGUGUGAAAUCCCAGGGCUCAACCCUGGAAGUGCAUUUGAUACUGCGAAGCUUGAAUGUGAUAGAGGUGAGUAGAAUUCCAGGUGUAGUGGUGAAAUACGUAGGUAUCUGGAGGAAUACCGGAGGCGAAGGCGGCUCACUGGGCCAACAUUGACACUCAGACCCGAAAGCGUGGGGAUCAAAC
rnacentral:rRNA from 1 species